GUAACGCUAAAUGCUUUGUUUCCUCUCAACUUAAAAGGGGAAAGUUGAAAAAUGUAGGUUGUUUGGGUUUUUUAUAUAUUUCUUUUCAGUAAGUUAAUUUGGAAAACUGUUACUAGUAUGUCUUUGUAGA